rnacentral:misc_RNA from 1 species
AAGUCGUAACAAGGUUUCCGUAGGUGAACCUGCGGAAGGAUCAUUAUCACGUUAUCCACGUAUCAACCAUUGUGAACUAGUCGAUUUUACCUUUGAAUGUAAUGGAAGUUAGUUGUUAUUGUUUUUCAAACCGUUAUUCAGACAAAAACUGAUUGGAUUUGUCGAGGUUUGCAAUAAUCAAAACAAUUUUAAUUAAUUGUUUGACUUCCUGAUUCAAAGUGUAUUUUUUUCCAAUCAAAUUCAUUAACCAUUUAAACCCAAAAUUUUAAUAAAUUUUGAACUGAAUUAAUUUCUUACUCUCUCUUUUGGGAGAAGAAAUAAAUCUUUACGAAACAUAAGAACAACUCUUAGCAACGGAUAUCUUGGUUCUC